rnacentral:tRNA from 1 species
UCUAAUAUGACAGAAUAAUGUAAUGAAUUUAAGAUUCAUAAAUGAGAAAUAUUUCUCUAUUAGAA